rnacentral:rRNA from 1 species
CCCAGACUCCUACGGGAGGCAGCAGUGGGGGAUAUUGCACAAUGGGGGAAACCCCGAUGCAGCGACGCCGCGUGAGUGAAGAAGUAUUUCGGUAUGUAAAGCUCUAUCAGCAGGGAAGAAAAAAGACGGUACCUGACUAAGAAGCCCCGGCUAACUACGCGCCAGCAGCCGCGGUAAUACGUAGGGGGCAAGCGUUAUCCGGAUUUACUGGGUGUAAAGGGAGCGUAGACGGCAAUACAAGUCGGAAGUGAAAUACCCGGGCUUAACCUGGGAACUGCUUUGGAAACUGUAUGGCUGGAGUGCUGGAGAGGUAAGCGGAAUUCCUAGUGUAGCGGUGAAAUGCGUAGAUAUUAGGAGGAACACCAGUGGCGAAGGCGGCUUACUGGACAGUAACUGACGUUGAGGCUCGAAAGCGUGGGGAGCAAACAGGAUUAGAUACCCGAGUA